AACGAACGCUGGCGGCAGGCUUAACACAUGCAAGUCGAACGCAUCCUUCGGGGUGAGUGGCAGACGGGUGAGUAACGCGUGGGAACGUGCCCUUCCGUUCGGGAUAACACAGGGAAACGUGGGCUAUGACCGGAUACGGGCGGGGGCAUAAAGAUUCAUCGCCGAAUGACCGGCCCGGGCCUGAUUGGCUAGUUGGUGGGGUAAUGGCCCACCAAGGCGACGAUCAGUAGCUGGUCUGGGAGGAUGAUCAGCCACAUUGGGGCCGAGACACGGCCCAAACUCCUACGGGAGGCAGCAGUGGGGAAUAUUGGACAAUGGGCGCAAGCCUGAUCCAGCCAUGCCGCGUGAGUGAUGAAGGCCUUAGGGUUGUAAAGCUCUUUCGUCCGGGACGAUAAUGACGGUACCGGAAGAAGAAGCCCCGGCUAACUACGUGCCAGCCGCCGCCGUAA
rnacentral:rRNA from 1 species